AAGUAAGAAGGCAGAAGGAUCUCAGGUGGAUAUUCCUUGAUCUUGGAAAGGGAGACUGUUUGAAGGAAAGCACCAUGGCCUGGACACUGGUUUUCCUUUCUCUUCUUAGUUAUUUCUCAGGCGUCACUUCACAGCCCACUUUGACUCAGUCCGCCUCCCAGUCUGGAUCUCCAGGAGGGACAAUUCAACUCACCUGUGCCAUCAGCGGCAAUCCAAACUACAUUGGCUGGAUUCAACAGAAAUCUGGGGAAGGCCCUCGCUUUGUGCACUGUGAUUCUGUCUGUAGCAGGGGAGAAGGGAUCCCAGACCGAUUCACGGGAACCCGGUCAGGCAACAACGGCUACUUAACCAUCACCAACCUUCAGGCUGAAGACGAGGCUGAUUAUUACUGUCACAUGUGGUAUAGCAGUGGUGGAAUGUUCCACAGUAUCACGGUCAGGUACAACUAUACUCAGGAAACUGCCCGCUCUGCAUCUCUUGGAGAAUCAGCAAUUCUCUCCUGCAAGAUCAGCAAUGGCCUCCAUUUUCGUUACUCCUCAUG